rnacentral:rRNA from 1 species
UACGUAGGGGGCAAGCGUUGUCCGGAUUUAUUGGGCGUAAAGAGCGUGUAGGCGGCCGCACAGGUCCGUUGUGAAAACUGGAGGCUUAACCUUCAGACGUCGAUGGAAACCGUGCGGCUAGAGUCCGGAAGAGGAGAAUGGAAUUCCUGGUGUAGCGGUGAAAUGCGCAGAUAUCAGGAGGAACACCAAUGGCGAAGGCAGCUCGCUGGGACGUGACUGACGCUGAGACGCGAAAGCGUGGGGAGCAAACAGG